AAAACCUGGCGGCGUGCUUACACAUGCAGUCGCGUGCGCAGUUCCGUAGCAAUACGGGAUCGGCGCACGGCGCACGGGUGCGUAACACGUGGGCAAUCUGCCCCCUGAUGGGGAAUAACCCCGCGAAAGCGGGGCUAAUACCGCAUAAGAUUCCUUGGACGAUGGUCCGAGGAUUGAAAGCAGUGAUGCGUCGGAGGAGGAGUCCGCGCCCGAUUAGCUAGUUGGUGAGGUAAUGGCUCACCAAGGCAAUGAUCGGUAGCUGGUCUGAGAGGAUGAUCAGCCACACUGGAACUGAGACACGGUCCAGACUCCUACGGGAGGCAGCAGUGGGGAAUCUUGCACAAUGGGCGAAAGCCUGAUGCAGCGACGCCGCGUGGGGGAUGAAGCAUCUCGGUGUGUAAACCCCUUUCGAUUCGGACGAAUGCCCGCAAGGGAGUGACGGUACGGAUAUAAGAAGCCCCGGCUAACUACGUGCCAGCAGCCGCGGUAAG
rnacentral:rRNA from 1 species